rnacentral:rRNA from 1 species
UACGUAGGUGGCGAGCGUUGUCCGGAUUUACUGGGCGUAAAGAGCGCGCAGGCGGUCGUACAAGUCGCGUGUGAAAGCCCCCGGCUCAACUGGGGAGGGUCACGCGAUACUGUUCGACUCGAAGGCAGGAGAGGGAAGUGGAAUUCCCGGUGUAGUGGUGAAAUGCGUAGAUAUCGGGAGGAACACCAGUGGCGAAGGCGGGUCUCUGGACCUUACCUGACGCUGAGGAGCGAAAGCGUGGGGAGCGAACAGG